CAGCGCUCUGUCUGCACAGGCUCUCCAGCUGAUUCUCAUGCUCACUCAAGGGUGAGAACAUCCCACUCCCUUCCCUCGGGUGCCUGCCUCACGCCUACGGGUAUUUGAUCUGUGAGGCCUGAGAGACCGUGUGUGAAGAACCCCCAACGUGGAAUGAAGAUUAUCUAGCGUGGUGCCUGGCCUGCAGUUGAUUCCAAACAUCUGGAGAGAAUCAAGCAGGGAAGGCUCAGAAUACAGAGGACAAUGUGGAGAGGAAAUCAACACCUAGACUUGGCGGAUCAAUUAAGAACCAGCAGUGAGGGGAAGGAUGCAGAGGAUGUCAGUCCUGCAGGGCAUGCCGGAUCUUAGUUCCCUGACCAGAGAUCGAACCUCAGCCCCGCAUUGGAAGCACGGAGUCUUAACCACUGGACCAUCAGGGAAGUCCCCAAUAAUGGUUAUUUUUUAAAGAAAAAGAUUCCUUGGGUUUUAAAGAUAUGUAUUGAAAUAUCUGUGGGUGAAAUAAUUGUAUGUCUUGGAUUUAACAUAGUUCAGACAUGGAAGAAGAGGGUGAGAGUCAAACUAAAAUAAGACUGGCUAUGUGUUGGUAACUACUGAAGCUGAGUGAUGGGUUCAUUAUACCUUCUCUCUACUGUGAUAUAUGUUUGACAUUUUCCAUACUAUAAAAAGUAAAAAAUACUAUUGGGAAAAUAAAAUGCUUC